GAUUAAGCCAUGCAUGUCUAAGUUCACACCCUCGUACGGUGAAACCGCGAAUGGCUCAUUAAAUCAGUCGAGGUUCCUUAGAUGAUCCCAAUCUACUUGGAUAACUGUGGUAAUUCUAGAGCUAAUACAUGCCAACCAGCUCCGACCUGUUACAGGGAAAGAGCGCUUUUAUCAGUUCAAAACCAGUCGGCCCCGUCAAAAGGGCCGUCCCUUGGUGACUCUGGAUAACUUUGUGCCGAUCGCAUGGCCUCGAGCCGGCGACGCAUCUUUCAAAUGUCUGCCCUAUCAAAUGACGAUGGUACGUGAUCUGCCUACCAUGUUGGCAACGGGUAGCGGGGAAUCAGGGUUCGAUUCCGGAGAGGGAGCAUGAGAAACGGCUACCACAUCCAAGGAAGGCAGCAGGCGCGCAACUUACCCACUCCUGGCACGGGGAGGUAGUGACGAAAAAUAACAAUACGGAACUCUUUUGAGGCUCCGUAAUUGGAAUGAGUACACUUUAAACCCUUUAACGAGGAUCUAUUGGAGGGCAAGUCUGGUGCCAGCAGCCGCGGUAAUUCCAGCUCCAAUAGCGUAUACUAAAGUUGUUGCGAUUAAAAAGCUCGUAGUUGGAUCUCAGGCAUGGGCGCACGGUCCGCCUCGCGGCGGUCACUGUGUGUAUGUUUCCCAUCCUACGCUUCCCGGUUGUUAGCCCAUGGUGCUCUUCAUUGAGCGUUUUGGGUGGCCGGAACGUUUACUUUGAAGAAAUUAGAGUGUUCAAAGCAGGCACGUCGCCUGAAUAAUGGUGCAUGGAAUAAUGGAAUAGGACCUCGGUUCUAUUUUGCUGGUUUUCGGAACACGAGGUAAUGAUUAAGAGGGACAGACGGGGGCAUCCGUAUUGCGGUGUUAGAGGUGAAAUUCUUGGAUCAUCGCAAGACGAACUACUGCGAAAGCAUUUGCCAAGAAUGUUUUCAUUAGUCAA
rnacentral:rRNA from 1 species